GAUGAACGCUAGCUACAGGCUUAACACAUGCAAGUCGAGGGGAAACGACAUCGAAAGCUUGCUUUUGAUGGGCGUCGACCGGCGCACGGGUGAGUAACGCGUAUCCAACCUGCCCAUCACUUGGGAAUAACCUUGCGAAAGUAAGACUAAUACCCAAUGACAUCCCACGAAGACAUCUGAAUGGGAUUAAAGAUUUAUCGGUGAUGGAUGGGGAUGCGUCUGAUUAGCUUGUUGGCGGGGUAACGGCCCACCAAGGCAACGAUCAGUAGGGGUUCUGAGAGGAAGGUCCCCCACAUUGGAACUGAGACACGGACCAAACUCCUACGGGAGGCAGCAGUGAGGAAUAUUGGUCAAUGGGCGAGAGCCUGAACCAGCCAAGUAGCGUGCAGGAUGACGGCCCUAUGGGUUGUAAACUGCUUUUAUAAGGGAAUAAAGUGGGUCUCGUGAGACUUUUUGCAUGUACCUUAUGAAUAAGGACCGGCUAAUUCCGUG
rnacentral:rRNA from 1 species